rnacentral:lncRNA from 1 species
GCAAACUUCAAUAUUAAAGACAUAAGAAACAGCCAUUCUUAGUAAAGCUAUCCUAUUUUUAAUGUGUAAAUUAAUUAUAUAUUAUCCCAUUUGAUCACACUAUUAAAACUUGGUUAAUGACAAGAGUUCCCUAAUUUUAAGAAAUGGGAUUAGGUCUAAGUCACAGUGGGAAGCUGGACAUUUGAGGAGAAAGAGUAACACUUUAAAGAAUUUCUUGCCUUGUUGUCACUGGUCAAUUACACAUUCUCUCAUUUGAUCCUGCUGCUAUAACUUUCUAAACAGACUUGCUAAUUUCUUUUCCCACUGCCACUAAGUCUGCU